CAUUCGACAAGCGGCGCCGUAACGGGAAGCAACGCGCGGCUGGGGACCUCGAAGGACCUCUCUUCUGGUCACGAGUCACCCUACCGACACUUUCGUGUCGACGAUAUACGCACCACGCUGCCGUCGCCCGCUACUCAGAUUACCGCUGCUCGCCGCGUAUCCAGGCUCGAUCUCUUCAUCCCAAGUGGAUCGUUCGAAGAUCUCGGAGGAGUCGCGCGUACACGCUGGGGACCUGGAUCGAGGAACUGACAACGGAGAAUCGAAGAUCCUCUUCGGAAACCGAUCUCUAUCAACUUAUCGUUUACCAAGUACGUGCCACGCGUAUAGUAAGUGACUAUGGAGAGUGACGAAGUUUAGUGAAGAUCGCGAAGAGUCAGAUAGUAACGAACAGAAGACUGUGAGACUUUCGUAAAGGAAGACGAGUGAGUAAAUAAAUAUACAGUGGUCAGUGAAACAAAAGGAAAGAACACUUUGCAGUGUCGAUCGAACUCGUGACAUAGAAUUAAAGGGACGCAUGUGCGCCGACACGCGGUCGGCUACCGAUUUAAUGGUGUGACAGGUUGGCUGUUUCUCAGAUAGGGACGGGCAUUGGUGAGAAAUCGCGAGGAAUCGAGGUCAAACGACUCGAUUGAUGCACUCUCGUGAAGAAUCGUGGCGGUGGAGAGGAGCGUUCUGACCGAGAGGUUACGGUCUCUCUCGAUCAGCCGCGAAGAAGGUUCUCGCGAAGGGUGGCAACGAGAAGGAGAAAGCCUGUUGCCCCAGGAGAGUCCGUACGGCCUCACGACGCGGUCCGACGAGUGGAGCGGUCUCCUGCCCAGCUCCACGAUCGUGGGUGCUGGGGGGUCGCCAUGGCUCGGACUCGGCGCAGGGGGUGGCACGGGAGCUACCACCGGAGGCGGAAGCCCCGUCGAACUCGAAGGCCACUGGGGACGUAAGCUGUACGGGGCGAGUGUAGCUCCACCACCGCCGCCGCCUCAUCACCACCCGCGGGCGCCUCUCGUUUUCGCGCCUCAGGACAUGAGGCAAAUACUCAAGGAGGAACCCGUGCCACGUGCUUGGCCACAGCCCGCGCUUGCCGACAACGGAACGGUUGGUGUCGGUAGAGCACACUUCGAGAAACAACCACCAAGCAAUUUGAGAAAAAGUAACUUCUUCCAUUUUGUGAUCGCUCUUUACGAUCGACACGGUCAACCGAUCGAAAUAGAGAGGACUUCUUUCAUGGGUUUCGUCGAAAAAGAUCAGGAAUCUGAAGGUCAGAAGACAAACAAUGGCAUUCAGUAUAGCCUGCAUCUGCUGUAUUCUAACGGUGUCAGGCAGGUGCAGGACAUCUACGUGAGGCUCAUCGACUCUGCAACGAAACAGGCUAUCAUGUAUGAGGGACAAGAUAAAAAUCCUGAAAUGUGUAGGGUUCUUCUUACUCACGAGGUGAUGUGCAGUCGAUGUUGCGAUAAGAAGAGCUGCGGAAACCGAAACGAAACACCAAGUGAUCCUGUUAUCAUCGAUCGAUUCUUCCUCAAGUUCUUCCUCAAGUGCAACCAGAACUGCCUUAAGAAUGCCGGCAAUCCACGUGAUAUGAGACGCUUCCAAGUGGUCAUUUCCACGCAAGUAGGAGUGGAGGGACCACUACUGGCCGUCUCGGACAACAUGUUCGUUCACAACAACAGCAAACACGGACGUAGAACGAAACGAUUGGAUCCCAGUGAUCCUGGUGAAUACAACAGUCUCUAUACGCCUGUACCUCUUCAAACGCCGUGCAUAAAAGCGAUAUCACCAAACGAAGGCUGGACAUCCGGUGGAUCCACGGUAAUAAUCAUUGGAGAGAACUUCUUCGACGGACUUCAAGUCGUUUUUGGGUCGAUGUUGGUUUGGAGUGAGCUAAUUACACCAAACGCAAUUAGAGUACAAACUCCACCACGACAGAUACCAGGCGUCGUUGAAGUUACGUUAUCCUACAAAACUAAACAAUUCUGUAAAGGAGCACCUGGUAGAUUUGUUUAUGUUUCGUUAAACGAACCCACGAUCGACUACGGCUUCCAAAGGUUACAGAAACUUAUCCCACGUCAUCCAGGAGAUCCUGAAAAAUUACCAAAAGAAAUCAUAUUAAAAAGGGCGGCAGAUCUUGCAGAAGCCUUAUACAGUAUGCCGAGAAGCGGGAACGCUGGAAUUACGGGAGCACCUAGAAGUCCAGGAUCGGGCCAUCCACCUGCACCACCAACAUCUAGUUCGGCAACAGCGUUCAACUCGUACACAGGACAACUUGCAGUGACAGUACAGGAAAACGGUAGCGCGGCGAAAUGGACAGACGACGGUAGUUCCGUGACGACAGGAGCCGGUGCUGCAGGCGGAGGUGGCGGUGGUGGUAGCGUCGGAGGAAGCGUCGGUGGCAGCGCCGAUGCCUAUAGACAAAGCAGUAGCGCGAGUCCACGUGGAGUCGUGACCGGUGGUGGUUAUUGCGGAAGUUCGGCUAGCACACCUCACAGUCACAGCACAAACGGAAGUUACUCGGUAGCCAAUCCGUACACUGGUAGCCCGACUCUUUAUACAUCGCCGCACGAACAGUAUGGCAUUUUCUAUACGUCCGGGGAUGGGAGUGCGUUCGCCCCCGUAGUACGACCACCGACCACCUCAGUCCCACCGCACUGGUCCACACAGCACCACCUCGCCACAGCCGCCCAGUAACCGCUAACCGUCCACCAUCACAACCACCAUCAUCACCAUCACAACCACCCUAUGCACUGCGAUUAAAGAAUUAUGAGAAACAUGCACGAGAGACGAGACUCGAGGAUGACUAGGAGAAGUGGUCAGUUCACCAUUCAACAUGAAUCCAUUUAUGUUGCCCACCUGCAGUCAAGGAUAUUCAAACGCCGCCAGUCCGUUGCUCUCGUCGAACGGCAAAUAGUGUUACGAGAUGUAAGCUCCGACGAAAAUAUCGAGGGGUUAUAUGUUCACGGAAGCGACAUCCAUCGAUGCGCAGGAUUUCAACGAAUUUGGAUAUUCUGAUAAUCAUCGUAUUCGCGAUUGACAAUCGCUUUCUUGAAUCGAAAUCGGUCCUCUCGAUUCACGCAUUUUAUCUUUUCUCCAGUUGCCGCGUAACGGAAGAAGAAAUCGUCGCAGAGAAGCAUCUGUGUAAUGAUUUUCGUCGGAGCUGAGCGAUGAAUUCAGUUUUAGUGUGAGAGUAUAUCGAAACCAGAGCAAACAAAAAUCGAUAACGUUUUAUCAUUAACGAUGAUCGAAUAAGUUAAGGAAUGAUACAUAUCGAAGCACAUAGGGGUGUUUUCUUCAUCUAUUGACAUAGUCGUUCGGUUCACAUGUAUAAUACAAUUUUUAGAGAAUGAAAUCGAUUACAUCCAUUUCAUUGUUAAGAAAUAUCUGAUAUAAUGUUUAACUAAUAAAUUAUUUCUUUUAUAUUUCUAAUUAUUUAUCGUAAAAUUGUAUUCUACAUACAAAUUGAUCUGAUAUUUAUUUGAACAGAAGGAACAGAAACUCAUCCAAAUUGCUAUUUAGUAAGUAAAACCAUGAUUAUUUAAACGAAUCAUAACGUGUUGUUCUAGUAAUCGAAUUUACAAUUAAUAAUGAUGGUUUGAAUAAUCGAUCGAUCCAUUUAUCGGUGUUUCGAGGAUCGAGGUUUCUAUUCUGUCACAGAAUGUAAAAUUAAAUGGCAAUUUGGAGGAUUCAUUAGCAUUUCUGAAAAGCAGCCGAAUGACUAUUCUCUUUUCGUGUCUCCGAUAUCGCUAUUUUUUAACUAGCUAUCUCGAUACGAAAAGAUCACUCUUAUCGAUAGAGUCGAGUACCUCCUUUGCCCUGCGUCUCCUCUCGUAUACGAAAUUAUUAAAAAACUUGCGACAAAGUAUUUUCAAGGUGUUUUUCUUCAACUUUGUAGUACGAUGUUUCUAACGAUAUAAACGCCUAGUUGUUCGAGAGUUACAGAAGAGGCAAUAGUAUACGCAGGCGGGGACGUUCACAGGGUGCUGAGCAAUUUUAUAUCAAAGCAAGCAAAGAGGCUAACGAGGGUCUAGGAAAUAAAAAUGACACCACUAGACGGACAUAUCGCUUAUCAGUGAAUAACAGACAUCAUAGUUUUAGAAAGCAUUUUCGAGUUUGAAAUUUUAUCUUCCUACCCGUACGUUUUAAGAGACUAACCAAUAUCGGCUAGGUAGCGUAACGUCUAACUUGUAAUUUGUAAAUUUCCUUGUAAAUAUUGUUGCGAUGUACAAAAAGAUAAAAACUAUUUCCAGGAAUCCAACGAAACGAUAUUAACGUGAUUGUAGGGCGAAAAUUAUUAUAUAUAGAUGUAAAUAAUCGUAGAGCGUCGUAGCUUUAUUCAUAUUGAUUAAUACGCUGGCGAUCCAAUCUUUUAACGGACAAAUCGACCGCGUGAUCGUAAUAAUAAAUAAAUAAAUACUCCCAGCUGUUUUCCAUUGAUAUUUCUACUAUCGGUAAAAAAAACUUGUUUCUUCCAACGUGUACAUUUAUACUGAUUCGUAUUCAUGAAGAAAGAAGAAAGAAAGAAACGAUGACUAGAAUGUCUGAAUGGAAAAUCACGGAUAACGAUAUGAAUUAGGACAAAACGUUAAAAAUUGGAUUCGUCCGUAGCAAUUGUAUAGAAACGUAUAGUUGAUUUGAAUCGUUCGAUAAGCCGGCCCAAAACUAAUUUCACAGAAAACGAAUCUCACGAAAGUAUACGAAGCAUGUACCGUUGCAGAAUUGAAAUCUCCAAUUAGUUCAGAUUUUGCAGCAGUUUACGAGCAUAAACCGUAUCGUUUGUUUCUGAAACGAAUGUCGUUAAAAGUUAUUAUUGUAAAAAGUUCCUUUUUGCAUAUCGACUUGGCAAGCUGACUUCCAUUGUGGAAGACGCGCUCUUUGUCCCGAAGCCACGCUCUGUGAUCUUGUGAUCUUGAUUAUAAUAAUAAUUAUCACUUUCGUUCGAUCACACAAUGUCAUCAUCUUUUACAUGGCGCGUCGUUCUUGUACGCAUGCGAACGCACAUGAGCAUGUAUACGCGCGUACAAACACUCGUCGAUGUAUAUUAAAAUAAAUUAAACUUACAUUUUUGAGAAUUAAAA